rnacentral:tRNA from 1 species
GGAGAGGUGGCCGAGUGGUUUAAGGCACCGGUCUUGAAAACCGGCGAGGGAGAAAUCCCUCCGUGAGUUCGAAUCUCACCCUCUCCGCCA